rnacentral:rRNA from 1 species
CCUACGGGAGGCAGCAGUGAGGAAUAUUGGUCAAUGGACGCAAGUCUGAACCAGCCAUGCCGCGUGCAGGAUGACGGCUCUAUGAGUUGUAAACUUCUUUUGUCAGGGAGCAAUUGGGUCCACGUGUGGGCUUAGCGAGAGUACCUGAAGAAAAAGCAUCGGCUAACUCCGUGCCAGCAGCCGCGGUAAUACGGAGGAUGCGAGCGUUAUCCGGAUUUAUUGGGUUUAAAGGGUGCGUAGGCGGAAUAUCAAGUCAGCGGUAAAAAUUCGGGGCUCAACCCCGCCGUGCCGUUGAAACUGAUGUU